AAGGAUCAUUACCGAGUUGAUUCGGGCUCCGGCCCGAUCCUCCCACCCUUUGUGUACCUACCUCUGUUGCUUUGGCGGGCCGCGGUCCUCCGCGGCCGCCCCCCCUCCCCGGGGGGGUGGCCAGCGCCCGCCAGAGGACCAUCAAACUCCAGUCAGUAAACGAUGCAGUCUGAAAAACAUUUAAUAAACUAAAACUUUCAACAACGGAUCUCUUGGUUCUGGCAUCGAUGAAGAACGCAGCGAAAUGCGAUAAGUAAUGUGAAUUGCAGAAUUCAGUGAAUCAUCGAAUCUUUGAACGCACAUUGCGCCCUUUGGUAUUCCGAAGGGCAUGCCUGUUCGAGCGUCAUUACAACCCUCAAGCUCUGCUUGGUAUUGGGCACCGUCCUUUGCGGGCGCGCCUCAAAGACCUCGGCGGUGGCGUCUUGCCUCAAGCGUAGUAGAACAUACAUCUCGCUUCGGAGCGCAGGGCGUCGCCCGCCGGACGAACCUUCUGAACUUUUCUCAAGGUUGACCUCGGAUCAGGUAGGGAUACCCGUCCCUGAACUUAA
rnacentral:rRNA from 1 species